GAACUUACCUGGCAGGGGAGAUACCAUGAUCACGAAGGUGGUUUUCCCAGGGCGAGGCUUAUCCAUUGCACUCCGGAUGUGCUGACCCCUGCGAUUUCCCCAAAUGUGGGAAACUCGACUGCAUAAUUUGUGGUAGUGGAAUGAGGAAGCACGGGACCAG
rnacentral:snRNA from 1 species